rnacentral:rRNA from 1 species
UGAGGAAUAUUGGUCAAUGGACGCAAGUCUGAACCAGCCAUGCCGCGUGCAGGAAGACGGCUCUAUGAGUUGUAAACUGCUUUUGUACUAGGGUAAACCCGGUUACGUGUAACCGGCUGAAAGUAUAGUACGAAUAAGGAUCGGCUAACUCCGUGCCAGCAGCCGCGGUAAUACGGAGGAUUCAAGCGUUAUCCGGAUUUAUUGGGUUUAAAGGGUGCGUAGGCGGUUUGAUAAGUUAGAGGUGAAAUGUUAGGGCUUAACCCUGAAACUGCCUCUAAUACUGUUAGACUAGAGAAUAGUUGCGGUAGGCGGAAUGUAUGGUGUAGCGGUGAAAUGCUUAGAGAUCAUACAGAACACCGAUUGCGAAGGCAGCUUACCAAACUAUAUCUGACGUUGAGGCACGAAAGCGUGGGUAGCAAACAGGAUUAGAUACCCUGGUAGUCCACGCAGUAAACGAUGAUAACUCGCUGUCGGCGAUACACAGUCGGCGGCCAAGCGAAAGCGAUAAGUUAUCCACCUGGGGAGUACGGUCGCAAGAUUA